rnacentral:rRNA from 1 species
UACGUAGGGGGGCGAGCGUUGUCCGGAUUCAUUGGGCGUAAAGCGCUUUAAGGCGGUUCGCUAAGUCGCGUGUGAAAACUCCAGGCUCAACCUGGAGACGCCACGUGAUACUGGCGUGACUAGAGUUCGGUAGGGGAGUCACGGAAUUCCUGGUGUAGCGGUGAAAUGCGCAGAUAUCAGGAGGAACACCGGUGGCGAAGGCGGUGAUCUGGGCCGACACUGACGCUGGUAGAGCGAAAGCGUGGG